rnacentral:rRNA from 1 species
CAUGAAGCCGGAAUCGCUAGUAAUCGCGAAUCAGAAUGUCGCGGUGAAUACGUUCCCGGGUCUUGUACACACCGCCCGUCACACCAUGGGAGUCGGUAACACCCGAAGUCGGUAGUCUAACCGAAAGGAGGACGCCGCCGAAGGUGGGAUUGAUGACUGGGGUGAAGUCGUAACAAGGUAUC